AGAGUCAGGAGGAAACAGAGAGGUAACCAACAGCAACUCUGAAGCAGCUGCAGGAAUUUGACAAAUGUCCCUUUCACACACAGUCUUUACUGAUAAAUAACCAGUAAAUACCAUUAAGAAAUCGUGUGUGAACAGGACCUUUUCAAAAUACUGGUAAAUUUGUUAAGGCAAUUUAGCGGUAUGGGAAGUUGUAACAUUACCGGUAAUGCGCUCUGUGUGUACGCAGAAUGAGAUUACCAGUAUGAACACGUACGAGUUUAGAACGCACUGACGUAAGACGUCUACUCUGGACCAAUCAUUACAUUCUGACGCAGAUGAUGCAUUUACUCUGCACUGUGUAGUUUGGUUUGAAGUCAUCUAAUACGAUGUUUCUGGGCCAAAAACAACUGCAUGAAUGUGAACAUUUGACACAAGACUGAAAAAGUAAAAUGUUAAAAAAAUGUUUACAAACAGAACACCGGGAGGUGCAGCCAUUUAGGAGUCAAUUCCAGUUAAUGAUGUCACAGAAUUUACUGGUAUUUUGAAACUGAUGUGUGAAUGGCGUUUUACCGGAAAAAAAGACGGAACGUCGUUGCCUGUGUGAACAGCACAUCUUUGUAUUUACCAGUAAAGUCGUUAUGAUAAUUUUACAGCAAUUUACCAGUAUUGCUGUGUGAAAGAGGCUAAAGAGUGGUCAUUGAGUGCAUGUGAUUUCAGAAAAUGUGUCUAUUUUUUUCUAGAAGGCUGCCAUGAAUUAAUGAAUCCAGCUUUCCCAUGAUGUAAACCCAAUGUUCAGUUUUGUAGAAUAAUAAUAUGCAGUUAUGCUCAUGGUUCAGACUCAGCUGAGUUGGUUUUUAGGCAGUGGGUAAUGGGUGCAGGGUUUGAAAUGUUAGGAUGAAUGAGUUCAUCAAUACAAGUUAAAUAAAGUGCUGAUGGUGAGCUGUCUGGUGAGUAAUGCUGCUACCUGACCUCAGUCUGAAUAGAUAUAAUCUCUUUCACUCUCUCUUGCAAACACACAAUGAUGGCUUUGGAAUUUAUUGCAUAAGUGCAAAUAAUGAAAUCACAACAGAUUACCGAUAAAUAAAGGGUAACAGGAGGCCUCAGUAGUUUUUGGAACAGUGUGUUUUAUGCAUCUCAGUUCCAUUCUUAUUUCUUUAAGAAAAGAUUUGUGGACUUUGUGACGUUUGUGCGACAUCUUCAUGUAACUGCUAGUUUUACAAUUGCCCCAAAAACAUUUGGAUCCUUUGGGUCCCACACUUUAUAAAUGACAUUGCAUUAUAUAACAAAAUAUCAAUUUGAGUGGCAUUUAUACAAAAGAAAAAUAGCACAAGCAAAAUGUUUGGACUUUAUUUUUUUGAUAACUCAGAGGCCAAAUAAAAAUGUAAUUGCCUCUUCAUUUCAGACAAAAUAAAACUAAGAGG
ensembl:lncRNA